UACAGAGGUCCCAAGCGUUGUUCGGAUUCAUUGGGCGUAAAGGGCGCGUAGGCGGCGCGGUAAGUCGGGUGUGAAAUCUCGGAGCUUAACUCCGAAACUGCAUUCGAUACUGCCGUGCUUGAGGACUGGAGAGGAGACUGGAAUUUACGGUGUAGCGGUGAAAUGCGUAGAUAUCGUAAGGAAGACCAGUGGCGAAGGCGGGUCUCUGGACAGUUCCUGACGCUGAGGCACGAAAGCGUGGGGAGCAAACAGG
rnacentral:rRNA from 1 species